GGCGUAACGACUUCUCGACUGUCUCAACCAUGGACUCGGCGAAAUUGCACUACGAGUAAAGAUGCUCGUUACGCGCGGCAGGACGAAAAGACCCCGGGACCUUCACUACAGCUUGGUAUUGGUGUUCGGUUCGGUUUGUGUAGGAUAGGUGGGAGACGUUGAAGCAGGGACGCCAGUUCUUGUGGAGUCAUCCUUGAAAUACCAC
rnacentral:rRNA from 1 species